ensembl:lncRNA
GGAAAGAGCCUUUCAGCGGGGACAGAAGGGAAAGAGUCUCCGUUUCAAUGGAAUAAAAACUGCGCAAUUUCUUUACGCACUCCCUGCUCGGAUCACUCGCACCGUUGCUGUCCAUGAGACGGAUAUCAGCAGCGCUUUCUGGAUGAUUGUUGGCGGGGGGGAGUCCGUUCCCCAUUGCAACCCCCCCCGCUGUCUUUGAGGCUUUUUUUUAAGGCUUCACCAGCUUGCGAUUUUUUUCUUAACCCGAUGGUGUUCAGAUGAAGGAAAAAGAAACGCGAUAUGACUGUGAAGAUGCAACAUCACUGAUGAGUGUGUUCGUCAUGCCUUGCCCAUGGGCGAACGCAUCCACAUUUUCUGUGCCGGAGGGGGGCGGGGAGGGGGGUCUGCGAUCUCUGCGUGCGCAGUGCUUCCCCGUGUCAUAAUUUGCGCCUAAACGCGUUAUUACGGACGUUGAAUGGAAAGGCUUAGUAUUUUAUUUUUCGUCAGUGGGGGAGAUGAGAGGGCUUUUAGAGGUCUGCGUCAUCCCGUGGCCGUGGAAGGAGAUGGGCUACUUUGCAGAUUUUCCACUGUUUUCACAGCCAGAGUCAGCGCGGCACCUCCCCAGCACGUUUUGGAUCACACACAGAAGGGACAAAGUGAGGAGCAUGGCUAAGCCUUGUCGCGACCUGUUUAAAGAGCCGCCGGCGCCCGACUGAGGCCAUGAGUUUGGCUGGCUACACUGCAGGCAAGAAUGAGCAAGUGCAUCAGCCCCACAGCAUGGAAAUGGGAGGCAGUCUGCACCUGGCCUCUGCAAGUGUCC